AACAUGUACGACGCAUCCACAAUGGACUCGGAAAAUUGGUGACCGCUUAAACAAUAUGACCGUCAACUGGAACGGAAAACCAGUGUCGAUGCACGGCCGACCUCACAUGGUCAGUUUUACAGUGCAUAGAACAAAAGUAAAUCCGGUGGAAACUUGGAUACCUCGUGCACAUGCAAUUCGAUCAAACGGAUCUCUGAAGUGAAGGAAUUAUAACCUGUUGAGAAUCAUAAGAGUGCCGCAAGUCCCAACCGGGUGCUGCAUGUUAAGAUACAUCAACAACAAAUUUGGACGUCUUUCGAGGACAUGUGGAGAACCUGAUGGUUCAAUUCUUCCACAAUAAAUUAAUACUAAUGCGGAUGUCGUGGACCUCCCUAUGGAACGCUAUUACCGCAUGCAUGAUUCGUUUUCAACGAAAAAAUUAAAUAGUGAUUAUGUCGACAAUUUCGAAAUAUCUGAAAGAAAAAUUUUAUAUUCAUAUUGUAUGUGAUUUAAAAAUGUUUAAAAUAAACUGGAAAAUUCUCAAAUAUUUGAAAAAUGCAUAACAAUUCUCUUAUCAAUGAAAUAAUCCUGAAAAAUAAC